AACCUCCGCAAUGUGAGAAAUCGCGACGGGGGGAUCCCAAGUGCCAUUCUUAACGGGAUGGCUUUUCUUAAGUGUAAAAAGCUUUUGGAAUAAGAGCUGGGCAAGACCGGUGCCAGCCGCCGCGGUAACACCGGCAGCUCUAGUGGUAGCUGUUUUUAUUGGGCCUAAAGCGUUCGUAGCCGGUUUGAUAAGUCACUGGUGAAAUCCUGUAGCUUAACUGUGGGAAUUGCUGGUGAUACUGUUGAACUUGAGGUCGGGAGAGGUUAGCGGUACUCCCAGGGUAGAGGUGAAAUUCUGUAAUCCUGGGAGGACCACCUGUGGCGAAGGCGGCUAACUGGAACGAACCUGACGGUGAGGGACGAAAGCUAGGGGCGCGAACCGGAUUAGAUACCCGGGUAGUCCUAACUGUAAACGAUGCGGACUUGGUGUUGGGGUGGCUUUGAGCUGCUUCAGUGCCGAAGGGAAGCUGUUAAGUCCGCCGCCUGGGAAGUACGGUCGCAAGACUGAAACUUAAAGGAAGU
rnacentral:rRNA from 1 species